GGGGGCAAAUGUUGUUCGGAAUCACUGGGCGUAAAGGGAGCGUAGGCGGGCUUCUAAGUUAGAUGGUUAAUCCCGGGGCCCAACCCCGGACAGGCACCUAAAACUGGAAGUCUUGAAUAGUGGAGAGGACGGCGGAAUUGGGGGUGUAGCGGUGGAAUGCGUAGAGAUCCCCAAGAACACCAGUUGCGAAGGCGGCCGUCUGGACACAUAUUGACGCUGAGGCUCGAAAGCAUGGGGAGCAAACAGG
rnacentral:rRNA from 1 species